rnacentral:rRNA from 1 species
UGGGGAAUAUUGGACAAUGGGCGAAAGCCUGAUCCAGCAAUGCCGCGUGAGGGAUGAAGUAUUUCGGUAUGUAAACCUCGAAAGAAUGGGAAGAAUAAAUGACGGUACCAUUUAUAAGCUCCGGCUAACUACGUGCCAGCAGCCGCGGUAAUACGUAGGGAGCAAGCGUUGUUCGGAUUUACUGGGCGUAAAGGGCGCGUAGGCGGCGCGGUAAGUCACUUGUGAAAUCUCUGAGCUUAACUCAGAACGGCCAAGUGAUACUGCUGUGCUAGAGUGCGGAAGAGGCAACCGGAAUUCUUGGUGUAGCGGUGAAAUGCGUAGAUAUCAAGAGGAACACCUGAGGCGAAGGCGGGUUGCUGGGCCGACACUGACGCUGAUGCGCGAAAGCCAGGGGAGCAAACG